rnacentral:rRNA from 1 species
UACGUAGGGGGCUAGCGUUGUCCGGAAUCAUUGGGCGUAAAGAGCGCGUAGGCGGCCAGAUAAGUCCGGUGUGAAAGUCACAGGCUCAACCUGUGAAUGCCGCUGGAAACUGUCUGGCUAGAGUCCGGAAGGGGCGAGUGGAAUUCCUGGUGUAGCGGUGAAAUGCGUAGAUAUCUGGAGGAAUACCGGUGGCGAAGGCGGCAUCCUGGACCGACAUUGACGCUGAGGAGCGAAAGCUAGGGGAGCAAACGGGG